UAAAAAAAAAAUCGGCCGGGAAUCGAACCCGGGCCGCCCGCGUGGCAGGCGAGCAUUCUACCACUGAACCACCGAUG
rnacentral:tRNA from 1 species